rnacentral:rRNA from 1 species
UACGUAGGGUGCAAGCGUUAAUCGGAAUUACUGGGCGUAAAGCGUGCGCAGGCGGUUAUGUAAGACAGAUGUGAAAUGCCCGGGCUUAACCUGGGAACUGCAUUUGUGACUGCAUGGCUAGAGUUUGGCAGAGGGGGUAGAAUUCCACGUGUAGCAGUGAAAUGCGUAGAUAUGUGGAGGAACACCGAUGGCGAAGGCAGCCCCUGGGUCAAGAUUGACGCUCAUGCACGAA